UUGAACGCUGGCGGCAUGCCUUACACAUGCAAGUCGAACGGUAGAGGGGCAACCCUUGAGAGUGGCGAACGGGUGAGUAAUAUAUCGGAACGUGCCCAGUCGUGGGGGAUAACGCAGCGAAAGCUGCGCUAAUACCGCAUACGAUCUAUGGAUGAAAGCGGGGGAUCGCAAAGACCUCGCGCGAUUGGAGCGGCCGAUAUCAGAUUAGGUAGUUGGUGGGGUAAAAGCCCAC
rnacentral:rRNA from 1 species